rnacentral:rRNA from 1 species
AGAGUUUGAUUAUGGCUCAGGAUGAACGCUAGCGACAGGCUUAACACAUGCAAGUCGAGGGGCAGCGGGGGAGGAAGCUUGCUUUCUCCCGCCGGCGACCGGCGCACGGGUGAGUAACACGUAUGUAACCUGCCCUCUGCCGGGGGAUAAGCGGAAGAAAUUCCGUCUAAUACCGCAUAACACACAUCCGGGGCAUCCCGGGGGUGUCAAAGGAGCAAUCCGGCAGAGGAUGGACAUGCGGCGCAUUAGCCAGUCGGCGGGGUAACGGCCCACCGAGGCGACGAUGCGUAGGGGUUCUGAGAGGAAGGUCCCCCACACUGGUACUGAGACACGGACCAGACUCCUACGGGAGGCAGCAGUGAGGAAUAUUGGUCAAUGGGCGGAAGCCUGAACCAGCCAAGUCGCGUGAGGGAAGACGGUCCUAUGGAUUGUAAACCUCUUUUGCAGGGGAGCAAGGCACGGUACGUGUACCGUGAAGGAGAGUACCCUGAGAAAAAGCAUCGGCUAACUCCGUGCCAGCAGCCGCGGUAAUACGGAGGAUGCGAGCGUUAUCCGGAUUUAUUGGGUUUAAAGGGUGCGCAGGCGGACUGUUAAGUCAGC